AGGGGAUUCACUUAGUGGUAGAGUAUGUACUUUACACGUACACAGCAGUAGUUCGAUUCUACUAUCUCCUA